CGGUAAUACCAGCUCUCCGAGUGGUGUGGAUGUUUAUUGGGCCUAAAGCAUCCGUAGCUGGCUGGGUUAGUCCCCUGUUAAAUCCACCGAAUCAAUCGUUGGAUUGCGGGGGAUACUGCUCGGCUAGGGGACGGGAGAGGCAGACGGUAUUUCCGGGGUAAGGGUGAAAUCUUAUAAUCCCGGGAAGACCACCAGUGGCGAAGGCUGUCGG
rnacentral:rRNA from 1 species